AGCGAACGCUGGCGGCAGGCCUAACACAUGCAAGUCGAACGAACCCUUCGGGGUUAGUGGCGGACGGGUGAGUAACACGUGGGAACGUGCCUUUAGGUUCGGAAUAACUCAGGGAAACUUGUGCUAAUACCGAAUGUGCCCUUCGGGGGAAAGAUUUAUCGCCUUUAGAGCGGCCCGCGUCUGAUAGCUAGUUGGUGAGGUAAUGGCUCACCAAGGCUACGAUCAGUAGCUGGUCUGAGAGGAUGACCAGCCACAUUGGGACUGAGACACGGCCCAAACUCCUACGGGAGGCAGCAGUGGGGAAUCUUGCGCAAUGGGCGGAAGCCUGACGCAGCCAUGCCGCGUGGAUGAUGAAGGUCUUAGGAUUGUAAAAUCCUUUCACUGGUGAAGAUAAUGACUGUAGCCGGAGAAGAAGCCCCGGCUAACUUCGUGCCAGCCGCCGCCGUAACAC
rnacentral:rRNA from 1 species